rfam:Clostridium formicaceticum strain ATCC 27076, complete genome.
GGCCCCUUGGUCAAGCGGUUAAGACACCGCCCUUUCACGGCGGUAACAGGGGUUCGAUUCCCCUAGGGGUCA